rnacentral:rRNA from 1 species
GAUGAACGCUAGCUACAGGCUUAACACAUGCAAGUCGAGGGGGUAGCAGGGGUAGCAAUACCGCUGACGACCGGCGCACGGGUGAGUAACACGUAUCCAACCUUCCCAUAACUCGGGGAUAGCCUUUACGAAGAAAGAUUAAUACCCGAUAGUACUUUUUUGAGGCAUCUUGAGAAAGUUAAAGAUUUAUUGGUUAUGGAUGGGGAUGCGUUCCAUUAGAUUGUUGGUGAGGUAACGGCUCACCAAGUCUUCGAUGGAUAGGGGUUCUGAGAGGAAGGUCCCCCACAUUGGUACUGAGACACGGACCAAACUCCUACGGGAGGCAGCAGUGAGGAAUAUUGGUCAAUGGGCGAGAGCCUGAACCAGCCAAGUAGCGUGAAGGAUGAAGGUCCUAUGGAUUGUAAACUUCUUUUAUAGUAGAAUAAAGUGAUCCACGUGUGGAUUUUUGUAUGUAUACUAUGAAUAAGGAUCGGCUAACUCCGUG